UACGUAGGGGGCAAGCGUUGUCCGGAAUCAUUGGGCGUAAAGCGCGUGUAGGCGGCCAGAAAAGUCCGCUGUGAAAACUCGAGGCUCAACUUCGAGCUGUCGGUGGAAACUUUCUGGCUAGAGUCCGGAAGAGGAGAAUGGAAUUCCUGGUGUAGCGGUGAAAUGCGCAGAUAUCAGGAAGAACACCAGCGGCGAAGGCGGCACUCUGGGCUGGAACUGACGCUGAGGAGCGAAAGCGUGGGUAGCAAACGGG
rnacentral:rRNA from 1 species